UGGUGAUGUAGACACUGAUGCUAGUUAAUUUAAGGUGGGGCUGCUGAAAUGUUUAAAAGCUGAAGCCCCCAAAGUUUUACUUGUCUGUGACACAAAUGAGCUCCAACCUGCUCAGGUAGAAUUUACUAACAGCUGAGCUGCACUAGACCUGGUCUCUGCUCAUCUUGACUCCUCGUUUGAGCAUUUCAUUUACUGAAGACAUCUUCACCAUCCGCUGUUCCAGACGACUGACUCGUGCCUGAACUCCUGCAGGUUAAUCAACCAACCACUGAUCAGUAAAGCAAAAAGUACGGAAACAAUGAGGAUCAUGUUUACCUGUUUGCUGCUUGUGCUGCCCUUUGUUACUGGACUCUCAAAACCAGC